UUUCGUCGUUAUCACCGUCGCAAUGCUUUCUCGUGUUACGCGAUCGUUAGUUCUUCAGUAAUCAUUAAUUAAUUAUUUUUUUUUAUUAUUUAUUUCCUAAAAUCCCUUGUUUACGAUAUCGUUAUAAUCGUCACAGUGACGUUUUUCGACGACAUCGAGCUGACGAUGACGUUCCAGUACCCAUGAGUCCUUUAUGCGGCAGUGAUUCGUCGUCCCAUGUUUCUGCCGUCUCUAGCCUUAAUGAUUGUGUCGAAAAAACUGACAAAACACACCGAAUAGUUGAUUUUUAUUUGUUAGCCAUUGGGGAUCUUUUACUGUUGUUCCUGUACAACUGCUUGAUCGAUAGCCAAUAGUAUUGACAAGUUUUGCUAAUGAAUGUAUUAUACAGGCUGAACAUUGUUCUGUAAGCUGCAGUGGUUACAUUUCUGAUAUAUCCUUAUUGACUAUACUGUGCUGUUAAUUUUUGCUUUGCUAGUGCCAUUGGCAGUUAAUAGAUCUGUAAAUCUUAAACUUUUCUAUUCAUGUAUAUAUACAAAGUGAUCAAGACACUCAUUUUCUCAAAAACUAUUAAAUUUUAAAUUUUUUUAAAGAAAAAUAUUUAGUUAAAAUAAUAAUAAUGUGAUAAAAAAAAUUUUUAUCAUUAUAGGUUUAUCGUUCUUUAAAUUAUAUUUUCUUAGAUGAGAACCCUUAUUUUUAAUUUAAUAUUAUGAUAAAAGAAAUAAUGACAAUUUUAUUUUUACAGUUUUUUAUCCAUUUAACCAUUAAUCUGUUACAAUAUGUUAAAGUUAAGUGAUUUUUGUCCAAAAUUCUAUUGUUAUUUCACUGUUUUUGAUCAGAUUGUGAUUACUCUGUAUAAUCUAUAAAUAUAGAGUAUUCAGUAAAUAAGAAAACAAUUAAAUUGUUAAAAACAAUUAGAAAAAUAGAAACCCGUUUCCUUACUUACUGAAUACCUAUAGAUGAUAAUGACUAUAACAGUAUUAAUUAUUGUGAUUUGUAAUGUUUAUGCCUGAAAUACCGUCAUAGUGGCCUCUGAUUAUGAUUAAUAGCUUUAUCUAAUUUGUGAUUCAAAAAUUGUUUUUGUUUUAUGAUAUUUUACUGAAAUAGACAAAUUUCAAAUAAUUAAAAAAUGUAUCUGGUAAUUAUUUGAAAUCAAAAUUAGCUUAUUAUAACUUUUAUUAUAUUUAUACUUAAUUUUAUAAUAUAUUAAAAUAUUCUAUAUAUUUUCAAUUUCUCCAUUACACAGUAGUAUAUAAUGUUCUUCACUAAAACAGCUUUCACAUUAAUAAUGCACAUACAAUUUUUAAAAUAAAUAAUAUUCUUUUUUCUCGCGUUAAUCCCAACUACUUGGGGUUGGCCAAUUUUUAUUAGUUUCCUGCACACAACAAAUGUUAACUUUUCUACUUCUACUAAUUCUCCACUUUUACCAGUUAAUGUUCCAACUUUCCAUGUACCUAUUCUUAUUUUGUAUCUAUCUUUCUACCUUAUACACGAGUCCAGCCUAGAGUUAAGUGGUGAUGUCCUUUUGUUUGACAUUAUAAGCAUUGGGUAGACCACAUGAUUGGUGAAACAGCUACCACGCAAGUUGUCCAGCUGGAUUAAACACUUUAUUCCUUAGGCCUUCUCCAUUUUUAACUAUUUUAUUCCCUCACCAGUUGUCCCGGCGUACAUCCAAGAUGGGGCAAUUCGCUUAAUCUUUGUUCAGAAUACCUCAUACUAUUUGACAAAAAUUUUACGCUGGCUGUCGACCUGAUGCAACCUCAUUAGUCGCCUCUUACGACUGGUAGAGGGGCCAUGGAAAUAUUCUUAUCCCCUAUCCACUGGGAAUUUUAACAUAAAUAAUAUAAAACUAUUUUUAAUAGUUGUAAUUAAUUAUUAAAUUUAUAUUUAUAUCAAUUUUUACUAUAAUCAACAUUAUUGGUUUAUUCAAUUAUUAAAUAGUGUUUGAUCAUAUUAAAGUGUGAUUUCUUUUGCUGAUUACACUACUGUUAUUAUUUCCUUUCUUAAACUUCUUUAACUGAAUUUAAUAAAUUGUAAAACUUAUUUAUUUUUAUUAUUAUUAUUAAAUGUAGUAAUGAGUAAAUAGUAAUUGCAUAUUCAUUUUUUUCUUUUUUAUUCUAAAUUCAUUUACUACCUUAAAAGAGUCAUAGUUACUCCUAUCGUCAGAAAAUUUUGAU